GGAGAAUCACAAAACAAAAUUGAGAAGCACAAAAACAAAACUGAGAAUCACAAAAUCAAAUUAAGAAGCACAAACACAAAACUGAGAAGCACAAAAACAAAACUGAGAAUCACAAAAUUAAAUUAAGAAGCACAAAAACAAAAUUGAGAAGCACAAAACAAAACUGAGAAUCACAAAAUCAAAUUAAGAAGCACAAAAACAAAAUUGAGAAGCACAAAACAAAACUGAAAAUCACAAAAUCAAAUUAAGAAGCACAAAAACAAAACUGAGAAGCACAAAAACAAAACUGAGAAUCACAAAAACAAAACUGAGAAUCACAAAAUUAAAUUAAGAAGCACAAAAACAAAAUUGAGAAGCACAAAACAAAACUGAGAAUCACAAAAUCAAAUUAAGAAGCACAAAAACAAAAUUGAGAAGCACAAAAACAAAAGAAGAAUCACAAAAACAAAUUGAGAAGCACAAUUACAUUAAGAAAACCGGAAAGGGUAGGUACCAGUCGGCAACAGGAGACAUCACUGAUUGGAUGUCCGCGCUGUUCGUCUUUGGAACCGGAAGUUACUCUGUGGCGCAUUUCGUUUGAAGAAGAACGGCGGAAUGUUUUGUCCUAGCUGUGGGAAAAAGCUGGUUGAGGAGUCACCGAACUUUUGCAGCGGCUGUGGCGAGAGGCUUCAUCACGCAUCUUGCAUCGGAGACACUUCACUCCCAUCGAAUAAAUGUCGGCUUGAUGACCAUUAAAAAGGGUGGUUUGAAGGCAUACCGUGGAAAAACUAUUUUCCUAACAACAGACCCUGACGCUACUGCCACAAGUCUGCUCAAUCAAGCUGUUAAAAAAAAUGAAGGACUUUAACAAAGAUCUAAAAGAUGGACCUUUCCUUCUUCUGUAUCCGGAUGGCACUGAGGUCAUUACUGUCCCUGGAACACAAAGACCAUUUACACUUGAGGCUUAUAAGGCUGAAGUUGGCAAGCCUUAUCAAAGAAUCACUGUUUUCAUCUGCUUGAAGAGUGACUUUGAGGAUGAUGCCACCUGUCCCUCCCACUACCACCACCUGGCAUGGAGGGUGAAGUGUCUUGCCCAAGGACACAACGACUGUGACAGACUGAGCAGGGCUCAAACCUUCAACCUUUUGAUUACAGGGCGGGCUUUUAACUCCUCUGCCACCAUUGCUCCCUAAAUUAGCUUGUAUAUGUUAUGUUUCUUCCUGGAAACAUGAAAUUCAGCCAUUUUUGGAUCUACUGAGUCAUGAGUUUUCAAUGCUAACUUUAUGCCUUUCGUCUUAAUCUAUUAUUGAUGAUCAAAUAAAGUUUCAUACAUUAGUAUGAAUUUAGUUAGCUUAGCUUGAUUUGUUUUCAUGUAUUGUAGUUGGAGAAAACUCAGACUUGUCUGACUCUGACCCAGAGAUUGUUAUUAAAAGGCCCUCUGAGUUUGAUCUUGCUGAUACACUGGUAAGUACAAUUUAAAAAAUUUUAUAGAGUUUUCUUGUUGUUUAGCCACCACCAUUUGCCUCAGUUCAGUAAAACAGUUAAUAGUUAUAUGUGAAAUACAUUUUGUGUGUGUGUGCGUGCUUGCGUGCGCGUGUUUGUUUGUUUGCUUGUUUAUUUGUUUCAGCCAUGGGAAUUCCAACAUGAAAGCAGUCCUUUACAGAAAGCGGCAGAAUAUGAGAAGGGUGCUGGGGAUCUUGUGCUUGCUAAUGAAGUACAACAGGUAAACUAUUUUAUUAGAAAAACAGUGCAGCAGACAAUCUCCACCGCCUUUACUUUGCAAUUAGAUAACGAUUCACUGUUUGCUUAUUACAUUCAUUGUUAUUAUACAAUGCAUUUCACAUCCUCAAUUUUCAUACUAUCAAGAGAUUAUAACAUCCACCCCUUAAAGGUACAAUAAGUCAUACCGGUACAUGAAAUAAUCACAAAGCAGUCUAAUGUUUCAAUCAUGUUGGAAGGAAGGUUACAUUGAAACUAACUGUGUAUGACUCGUCUCUGUCAUCUAGAAUCUUCUGGCGCUGAUCCGUAGCCAUGAAACUCAUGGAACGGGAGGAGGGAGAGUCACUCGUUUGUUUAUAAAGAUAGACUGCAGUACACAAAUUUGACCACAGGAUGUUCUUCUUAUUUCAUUCUUACUUAUUGUACCUUUAGAUAAUCUAUUGGGAUAGGGAACCUAAGGUACAUCCAUCUACUUCCGGACCAUGGGUCCCCUACUGCUAAAAAAAUAGGAGUCUAUGAGCCAAUAAAAAUUAUUUUCUGAUCCCGUUUGAUGUGUGCCAUGUAUUUAAAAUAUGAUGUCCGUGAAGUAUAUAAACACAUUUUGAUGCCAAAAAGUGCUUACGCGACAGGUGGCAAAGGUUAUUUUAGGUUUUGUUUGAAAAGACGUGGCGAAAUGUAAAUGUUCGUCUCACAAAAUUGACAUCAUCGAACCAGACACAGAGAAGAGGAAAAGCUUAGUUUUGUUUAGCGAGCUUCGAAUCCUUCUUCCAGGAUGAUGUGGAGAAAACCACUAUAAAUCUGGCCAUGUGAUAAUUAGCAGCUACGCUGGGGGAGAAAAGCUUCUGAGGCGACGUCAUAUUUGCGACAUCUGACUUGUAGUCAUUUUAAUGACGAAUUUUUACAAGCUAACAAAUCUCAAAUUACAUUACAGACAUAGUCGAAACACAAUUAUUUAUUAUUUAAAUUGAAGUACAACAUAUGUGUGAUUCAGAGAGUAAGGCAAAGCAGACCAGAAAAUAACUUUUAUAGCUCCAUUCACUUCCAUUCAUUUUUCUUUUGUUCAGGGACCCAUGAGCAGACCAGAAGGGGAGGAGACUUAGGCUCCCUAUAUUAAAAUAAUUAUCAAUUGGUCAAAUAUGAAUUUUCAUUCAUCCUCAUUUCUGUAUUUCCAGGUCAUAGAUUUGGAAGAAGAAAACGAUACAGGCACUACUGAAUGCCUCACUGUGGAGAGCUCCUGUUACAGAAACUACACACAGCUGUUUGAUCCGAUUGUGAUUGAUGAUGAAGAUCCUACUCCUAACGAAGCCAAAGCUGAGCCCCCAGAAGAACCUGUAGACCCCAAUUUGCAGGCACAUGAAAUUAUUGCAAAUUUGACACUGGAACUUGACCACAAGAAGGUCAGCAGGUUCAAUAUAUCAAGGUCAGCUGUAUGGGAUGGAGCUGUUAGAUGAAAUCCAUCAUCAUCAAGUUUAAUGAUGAUGCUGGCAGCUUUGAAGAAGGUUUGGAUACAGGUGGCCCGAGGCGUGAAUUCCUCACACUUCUUAUGGGCAGUCUGAGAAAUCGCCCAUCUUUGAUGGACCUCCAGAAACCGUUAUCUUGUAUAUAAUUCAAGAGGUGGAUGUUUUCUCCGUAAUUAUUACAAUGAAAAUUUUAAUAAAAAUUGGCUUAUUUUUUUCAUUAGCAUAUUUAAUAGCAAUUAAC
ensembl:lncRNA